rnacentral:rRNA from 1 species
AGAGUUUGAUCCUGGCUCAGGAUGAACGCUGGCGGCGUGCUUAACACAUGCAAGUCGAGCGAAGCACUCGGCCUUGAAUCUUCGGAGGAAAGGCGGUUUGACUGAGCGGCGGACGGGUGAGUAACGCGUGGGCAACCUGCCCCAUACGGGGGGAUAACAGUUAGAAAUGACUGCUAAUACCGCAUAAGACCGCGGUGCCGCAUGGCACAGCGGUAAAAACUCCGGUGGUAUGGGAUGGGCCCGCGUCUGAUUAGCUAGUUGGCGGGGUAACGGCCCACCAAGGCGACGAUCAGUAGCCGACCUGAGAGGGCGACCGGCCACAUUGGGACUGAGACACGGCCCAAACUCCUACGGGAGGCAGCAGUGGGGAAUAUUGCACAAUGGGGGAAACCCUGAUGCAGCGACGCCGCGUGAGCGAUGAAGUAUUUCGGUAUGUAAAGCUUUAUCAGCAGGGAAGAAGAUGACGGUACCUGACUAAGAAGCCCCGGCUAACUACGUGCCAGCAGCCGCGGUAAUACGUAGGGGGCAAGCGUUAUCCGGAUUUACUGGGUGUAAAGGGAGCGUAGACGGCGAUGCAAGCCAGAUGUGAAAGCCCGGGGCUCAACCCCGGGACUGCAUUUGGAACUGUGUGGCUGGAGUGUCGGAGAGGCAGGCGGAAUUCCUAGUGUAGCGGUGAAAUGCGUAGAUAUUAGGAGGAACACCAGUGGCGAAGGCGGCCUGCUGGACGAUGACUGACGUUAGGCUCGAAAGCGUGGGGAGCAAACAGGAUUAGAUACCCUGGUAGUCCACGCCGUAAACGAUGACUGCUAGGUGUCGGGCGGCAAAGCCGUUCGGUGCCGCAGCAAACGCAAUAAGCAGUCCACCUGGGGAGUACGUUCGCAAGAAUGAAACUCAAAGGAAUUGACGGGGACCCGCACAAGCGGUGGAGCAUGUGGUUUAAUUUGAAGCAACGCGAAGAACCUUACCUGGCCUUGACAUCCCGAUGACCGUCCAGUAACGUGGACCUCCCUUCGGGGCAUCGGAGACAGGUGGUGCAUGGUUGUCGUCAGCUCGUGUCGUGAGAUGUUGGGUUAAGUCCCGCAACGAGCGCAACCCCUAUCUUCAGUAGCCAGCAUUUAGGAUGGGCACUCCGGAGAGACUGCCAGGGACAACCUGGAGGAAGGUGGGGACGACGUCAAAUCAUCAUGCCCCUUAUGGCCAGGGCUACACACGUGCUACAAUGGCGUAAACAAAGGGAGGCGAGCCCGCGAGGGGGAGCAAAUCCCAGAAAUAACGUCUCAGUUCGGAUUGUAGUCUGCAACUCGACUACAUGAAGCUGGAAUCGCUAGUAAUCGCGAAUCAGAAUGUCGCGGUGAAUACGUUCCCGGGUCUUGUACUCACCGCCCGUCA